rnacentral:rRNA from 1 species
GACAGAGGGGGCAAGCGUUGCUCGGAAUUACUGGGCGUAAAGGGCGCGUAGGCGGGAUGGCAAGUCGGUCGUGAAAUCCCUCGGCUCAACCGAGGAACGUCGAUCGAUACUGCUGUUCUUGAGGAUUGCAGAGGAGACUGGAAUUCCCGGUGUAGCGGUGAAAUGUGUAGAGAUCGGGAGGAACACCGGUGGCGAAGGCGGGUCUCUGGGCAAUUCCUGACGCUGAGGCGCGAAGCGUGGGAGCAACCGG